UACGUAGGGGGCAAGCGUUGUCCGGAUUUAUUGGGCGUAAAGAGCGUGUAGGCGGCCAGGUAGGUCCGUUGUGAAAACUCGAGGCUCAACCUCGAGACGCCGAUGGAAACCAUCUGGCUAGAGUGCGGAAGAGGCGAGUGGAAUUCCUGGUGUAGCGGUGAAAUGCGCAGAUAUCAGGAGGAACACCUAUUGCGAAGGCAGCUCGCUGGGACGUAACUGACGCUGAGACGCGAAAGCGUGGGGAGCAAACAGG
rnacentral:rRNA from 1 species